CCUACCACACAUCUUGGCCAGAGCACAGUCACUGCUCAUUCUCCACAAAGAAGAGGAUGAGAGUGUUUCAGAGGAUGUGUGGUUCGGGUUUUUGGAGAUAGAUCAGGAAAAAACCCAGCGCCAAGAACAGCAGCAGCAGAACCAGGAAAGGCAGCAGCUCAAGCAUGGAAUGCAAAUGCAAGAUAGGCAUCCUUCAUACAUUCGCCCCUCCACCAGGAAAGCGCCCUGAAAGACCCCAGCCGGCAGAAUCAGGCGGAAACUCCCAACUGCUCCUCUUACUUUUCAGCUUCUUUGGGGUCAGUGAUUGCCACCAGACGGAUUCUUUCCAUUGCAAACCUGCGGGUUUCCUCUUAGGUCAUUUCCUAGCAGCCAGAGCCAAGGGGAGGAGGAACUUGGGAGUGCUGAAACAGCAGCGCCACAGCCUGGAAGAACCAGGAUUUACCUUCUGCAUUCACCGAUCCAUCUCUUUCCUUGCAACCCCCUGCUCCCCCGCUCUCUUUCACCAUCCUACGACUUGGGGGAGCGAGGGUCAGAGUGUGCCCGUUUCCCUCUGACUCAGACUGUUGUCUCCCAAUCAGAAGAGCUCUUCAUCCAUAGCUGUAUUCUAAUAUUCGGUUUUGACCAUACAAUCUUUUGACUUUUCUGUGAACUUAGCCCUAGCGAAAGGCUACAGCCCUCUGUUUAAAAGCAGGACAGAUACAAUACAGCAAAAGCAGCUGCAGUGCAGAUUCCCCACACUGUCCUGCAAACGUGCCCUACUCCUGCUCUGUAGGGAUCUACUUUCCAGGCAUGUGAGUCCUUCCCACUCCAUGGUCCACUCAACCUUUGGCCUCUAUUGGCACUACCAGCAUAGGGAGAGGGGGUGCGCAAUUUUCACUAGCGGUUAUAGAGAUUAAUGAAACAUGAAAAACUACUCACUGGGAACUGGGCAUGCCUAUAUCCAACAGGCCUCAUGUGCCUCCCAGCGGACACCACAUGGUUGUAACUUUCAGAUCAGUUCAUGUGCUUGAAGCUGACGGUUACUUUUCCUCUUUUCAGGUUAUUCCUUUUGUACAGUAGUAGUCCAUGGCUUCACAUUCUCCUCUGUUAGCUUGGAAGUCUGGGGUUUGCUCAUAAACAAAGAACUGAGCCUC